AGUGAACGCUGGCGGUAGGCCUAACACAUGCCAGUCGAACGGCAGCACGGUAAGAGCUUGCCCUUACGGGUGGCGAGUGGCGGACGGGUGAGGAAUACAUCGGAAUCUACUUUUUCGUGGGGGAUAACGUAGGGAAACUUACGCUAAUACCGCAUACGACCUACGGGUGAAAGCAGGGGAUCUUCGGACCUUGCGCGAUUGAAUGAGCCGAUGUCGGAUUAGCUAGUUGGCGGGGUAAAGGCCCACCAAGGCGACGAUCCGUAGCUGGUCUGAGAGGAUGAUCAGCCACACUGGAACUGAGACACGGUCCAGACUCCUACGGGAGGCAGCAGUGGGGAAUAUUGGACAAUGGGCGCAAGCCUGAUCCAGCCAUACCGCGUGGGUGAAGAAGGCCUUCGGGUUGUAAAGCCCUUUUGUUGGGGAAGAAAAGCAGCAGGUUAAUACCCCGCUGUUCUGACGGUACCCAAAGAAUAAGCACCGGCUAACUUCGUG
rnacentral:rRNA from 1 species